CCUGGAGCCCGUGAGGCCUCCUGUGAGUCCCAUCUUUGCAGCACGUCGUCGCCAGGAGAGGUCAGAAACCGCCGAUGCCAUCACCUGCAUCUACCCAGCGCCGCCACCAGGAGCCGAGCAGCGUCGACCGGCGCCCCAGCGUCCUCGGCCCGCGGGACACACCCCUGCUGUCCCCGACCCCAUCUGCCCUGCUCCUGCAUCAUCACCUCCACGACAUGCGGCACCACUGCAAGGAGAACAAGCCACAAACGGAAUUCGCCGCUGCCUCGAGCAGACCACCGACGCCUUCUUCUCGACGAGAUUCCAGCCGCUACGGUGACUUCCCGCCGCCGGUGAGCCCUCAAGCGAGUUCCCCUCCUCUUCCUCUCUCUUUUUCCCAUCUCACCAUGAUCUCUCGUGCUCUUAAACUCCAACAAAGGAAAGCCCCAGGAGCACCGCCCGUCAUGGCUAUGUGCCAUGUGCUUUUUGCAAAGGAACGUAGUUCGAGAGCUGUGAAGAUGAAGAGUUGCAAGAACAAGAACUGAAGACUCUGAGCAGUUAUUAUCUGGAUUUAAGACAAGUAUAUUUCUUGAUUAUAUUUCUGUCCUAAUAAUUUUUACUUUACGCUUGCAUGCAUUAAACUGAUGGGUACAUAUUAUCCUUAUUGUUGUCCAUGUCCUGGAAUAGCCGGGUUUCUUUUAUAAAAUCUCUUGGGUAGUUUGCUUAGUCGCUGAACAGUGGUUAUGGGUGGUUUACAAUAAUGUUAUUUGAGACAUGAGACUUGUGGAUAUAUCUUUUGAAACAAUAUGAUAAAUUGGUGAACUUUAUUAAAAUCAACCAUGGAGAACCAUUCGGGAAAACAGUGCAACCACAAGAACUACAUGGCUCUGGUCUUGGCUAAUUAAUUAGAUGUCUCUAGCUUGUUAGUAGCUUACCGAAAAGCGCAUGGGGUGGGGGGGCUGUGAUGGGCUGAUCGCUGCCUGCCAAGGGUGCGUUCUAUGUUUUGGGAAUUGGUCAUGCCUUGGGGGAGGGACAUCCACGCAGCUGCUGAAAUCUUAGCGGGCUACUACUAGUAAGAGAGUCUUUGUAAAGGCAUCGUAGCGUCCCUAUGCAAUCACACCUAAGGAAGUGUGGUAUUGUGCCUGGCUACAUAGCAUGGUUGGGUCCAUAGUUCUUUUGAACUUUUACAUGACUUGUGGGUAAAGUGUGCAACCUCUGCAAAGUGAAAACUGAUAUAUCAGCCGUGCUCACGGUCAUGAGCGGCUCGGACCCUCACAUGUCUACUUAAUAGAAAUUAUUACUUUAAUUCAACCAUAUAAAUGUUCCAAGCUUUUAUUUAUUCAGAUAUAUUUUUAUUUUUUUUAUAAAUGUGGGAUGGCUUCAUACAUGAUUUAGUAAAUAGGUUGUUAAUGUUCAACUGUUAUUUAAAAUACUUACCGCUUUAUUCAACCAAGCCUAUAUCCUUACUUUAAGCCUUUCAUGUCAUUUAUUUCCAAUAUACUUGCUGAGUACGACAUGUGCUCACCCUUGCUAUACCAACACUGCUCAAAGAAGAAAGUUGGAAUAAAGCUGAAGAUGUUGCUGAGUUCUAGAUGUACACAACCCCCAGUCAAUAGCCUAUGAAGUGUGGAGCUUUUAUUUCUAGGAGAAGUUGUACAUCUCUGAUAGUCGGUUAGUGUUGUAAGUCUCUUUUUACGUGACAUUGUUGCUCAUUAUUUUAUUAUGACGUCACUAUAUGUAUGAAACUUGAUCCUGGCAUACAUAUAGUUAUGCAUUCGCUUUUCUUUUUAAAACCGGGUGUGACAUAUUAAAGAAUUAAUAACUUUUCUAAUUUGAAUAAGAUAGAAGGAUGUAAUUUCUCAUCA